rnacentral:rRNA from 1 species
CCUACGGGGGACAGCAGUGGGGAAUAUUGCGCAAUGGGCGAAAGCCUGACGCAGCGACGCCGCGUGAGGGAUGAAGGUCUUCGGAUCGUAAACCUCUGUCAGCAGGGAAGAACGGUCACUGUGCUAAUCAGCAGUGAAUUGACGGUACCUGCAAAGGAAGCACCGGCUAACUCAGUGCCAGCAGCCGCGGUAAUACGGAGGGUGCGAGCGUUAAUCGGAAUUACUGGGCGUAAAGCGCUCGUAGGCGGUAUGUCAAGUCAAGGGUGAAAUCCCCGCGCUCAACGUGGGAACUGCCUUUGAAACUGGCAAACUGGAGUGUGUGUGAGGAUAGUGGAAUGUCAGGUGUAGGAGUGAAAUCCGUAGAUAUCU